UCAUCGUGGUUGCACGUUUCAUCUCAGCUAUCCCUAUUGGACGAUUACUUCAUUAUACGAAAAUACAAUGAGCUCAACUUGGCCGUGCACAAAUUACAGUCAAACUGGAUGUUCUCUGCAAGCAAACAUUGCAAUAUUGUCUCACAAUAUUGCAAUUUUGAUAGGAAGAUUGCUCUGAGCAAUUUGCAACCGACGCGAACAAAUUACACUGUUGAAAUUCAAAAAAUAAUUUGUAAACAAAGCCCUAAUUAGAUUAUAAGAAAGAGGGAAACCAAUCAAAUAGUCUGAGCAGCUGGAUUGGUGCUUCCCUCUUUCUUAUAGUCCAAUCGGAGGCUUUGUUUACAAAUCGUUUGUGAAUUUCAACUGUAGGUACGAAGUUGCUAUCAGACUUACCUGACGUCAUGAAUUUUAUCGACUUUUCUCUGAUACUUGAUGUAAGCUGACCGACACUCUCCAGAUAGGCUCGUAUGAACAUGCUCGGAGCGAAGUUUAUCAUAUUUUGUUCACCACAUCCGUACGGCAUUUUGAGUAACUUUUCUAUACCGCUGAUGGAGGAGCCCAUAAUGUCACCUGUACGGAGAAAUGUAAUUUAAGAAGAAUUUUAGGAU